CGGCGCGCGCACGGGAAAGGAGGGGCAAAGGUGUACAGAGAGAGCUCGGAAAACACGCUCUUCCACUUCUUGUUUGCUAAUUCUAGUAGUUGGCGAAGCAUCUGGUUCACAAUCGAGAUUUGCAGACUCAAGUGGCCUUUUUAAUGUUUGUGUAAUGAUGGAGAUGGACCCAAAUUAGAAAGUGAUUUCUUCAAUAAAGCAAUAGAAGAUUCUUCAUAUCACUUCUGGAAGCACAGUUCAGUUUUUGGGAAAGAGGAGAACAAGUGAAAUACAGAAAAUUAAUAAGAAGAAAACCUCAUUUUGGAAUUCUCUUUCUCCUUGACCCUUACCUUUUCUACUUAUAAUUUUGCUUUGAAUGUAUAAAUAGUAAAGACCAAAGAAAUAGG
rnacentral:lncRNA from 1 species